UCUACUUUAAAGUAAAGUUCUUUGAUUAUUCUUAGUUCUGACCCAAUUGGAUGGGAUAAUGGUCUACUGCAGUGUUUCUCUACCAGGAUGCCUCCAGCUGUUGCAAAACUACAUUUCUCAACAUGCCCUGACAGCCAAACGCUCAUAUUAGUGUUU